GACGAACGCUGGCGGCGUGCCUAAUACAUGCCAGUUGAGCGCUGAAGGUUGGUACUUGUACCAACUGGAUGAGCAGCGAACGGGUGAGUAACGCGUGGGGAAUCUGCCUUUGAGCGGGGGACAACAUUUGGAAACGAAUGCUAAUACCGCAUAAAAACUUUAAACACAAGUUUUAAGUUUGAAAGAUGCAAUUGCAUCACUCAAAGAUGAUCCCGCGUUGUAUUAGCUAGUUGGUGAGGUAAAGGCUCACCAAGGCGAUGAUACAUAGCCGACCUGAGAGGGUGAUCGGCCACAUUGGGACUGAGACACGGCCCAAACUCCUACGGGAGGCAGCAGUAGGGAAUCUUCGGCAAUGGACGAAAGUCUGACCGAGCAACGCCGCGUGAGUGAAGAAGGGUUUCGGAUCGUAAAACUCUGUUGGUAGAGAAGAACGUUGGUGAGAGUGGAAAGCUCAUCAAGUGACGGUAACUACCCAGAAGGGGACGGCUAACUACGUG
rnacentral:rRNA from 1 species